ACCAAACAGCAUCCCACCCUGAACACGUCGGACCUUGUCUGAACUCGGAAGCCAAGCAGGGUCAGGUCUGGUUUGUAUGUGGAUGGGAGACCUUUUAGGAAUAGUUGUGCUGUGGCU
rfam:Pelodiscus sinensis unplaced genomic scaffold scaffold660, whole genome shotgun sequence.